GGAAUUCGCCCUUAGAGUUUGAUCCUGGCUCAGGAUGAACGCUGGCGGCGUGCCUAAUACAUGCAAGUNGAACGCACUAGCAAUAGUGAGUGGCGAACGGGUGAGUAACACGUAGGUAACUUACCUCUAAGACGAGGAUAACGACUGGAAACGGUCGCUAAAACUGGAUAGGAUAACGGGUGGCAUCACCUGUUAUUUAAAGGGGCUUUCAAGCCACACUUAGAGAAAGACCUGCGGCGCAUUAGCUAGUUGGUGAGGUAGAGGCUCACCAAGGCGAUGAUGCGUAGCCGGACUGAGAGGUCGAACGGCCACAUUGGGACUGAGCNAGGAUCAAACUCU
rnacentral:rRNA from 1 species